rnacentral:rRNA from 1 species
AACGAACGCUGGCGGCAUGCCUAACACAUGCGAGUCGAGCGAAGGCUUCGGCCUUAGUGGCGCACGGGUGCGUAACGCGUGGGAAUCUGCCCUUUGGUUCGGAAUAACAGCUGGAAACGGCUGCUAAUACCGGAUGAUGACGAAAGUCCAAAGAUUUAUCGCCAGAGGAUGAGCCCGCGUUGGAUUAGGUAGUUGGUGGGGUAAAGGCCUACCAAGCCGACGAUCCAUAGCUGGUCUGAGAGGAUGAUCAGCCACACUGGGACUGAGACACGGCCCAGACUCCUACGGGAGGCAGCAGUGGGGAAUAUUGGACAAUGGGCGCAAGCCUGAUCCAGCAAUGCCGCGUGAGUGAUGAAGGCCCUAGGGUUGUAAAGCUCUUUUACCCGGGAAGAUAAUGACUGUACCGGGAGAAUAAGCCCCGGCUAACUCCGUG